ACCUGGGUGGCUCUGUGGUUGAGCAUCUGACUUUGGCUCAGGUCGUGAUCCUGGCAUCCUGGGAUCAAGUCCCGGGUCAGGCU
rnacentral:tRNA from 1 species